CAGUCGCCACGGGAAUACGUAGGUGGCAAGCGUUGCCCGGAAUUAUUGGGCGUAAAGGGCUCGCAGGCGGUUUCUUAAGUCUGAUGUGAAAGCCCCCGGCUCAACCGGGGAGGGUCAUUGGAAACUGGGAAACUUGAGUGCAGAAGAGGAGAGUGGAAUUCCACGUGUAGCGGUGAAAUGCGUAGAGAUGUGGAGGAACACCAGUGGCGAAGGCGACUCUCUGGUCUGUAACUGACGCUGAGGAGCGAAAGCGUGGGGAGCGAACAGGAUUAGAUACCCCGGUAGUCCCUGUCUCUUAUAC
rnacentral:rRNA from 1 species